rnacentral:rRNA from 1 species
AGAGUUUGAUCCUGGCUCAGGAUGAACGUUGGCGGCGUGCCUAACGCAUGCAAGUCGAGCGAGAAGCUCACUUCGGUGGGCGGAAAGCGGCGCAAGGGAGAGUAACGCGUAGAUACCUACCCUCCGGUCUGGGAUAGCCACGGNAAACUGUGGGUAAUACCGGAUAAUGUCCCCGGACCAAAGAUUUAUUGCCGGAGGAUGGGUCUGCGUCCUAUUAGCUUGUUGGUGGGGUAAUAGCCUACCAAGGCUUAGAUGGGUAGCGGGCGUGAGAGCGUGGCCCGUCUCACUGGGACUGAGACACUGCCCAGACACCUACGGGUGGCUGCAGUCGAGAAUCUUCCGCAAUGGGCGAAAGCCUGACGGAGCGACGCCGCGUGCGGGAUGAAGGCCUUCGGGUUGUAAACCGCUGUCAGUGGGGAGCAAAUCCAGUUUACUGGUUGAGCUAUCCGCAGAGGAAGCGCAGGCUAAGUUCGUGCCAGCAGCCGCGGUAACACGAACUGCGCGAACGUUAUUCGGAAUCAUUGGGCUUAAAGAGUUCGUAGGCGGCCUGAUAAGUUGGGUGUGAAAUCCCUCGGCUCAACCGAGGAACUGCGCCCAAUACUGUCAGGCUUGAGGGAGACAGAGGUGAGUGGAACUGAUGGUGGAGCGGUGAAAUGCGUUGAUAUUAUCAGGAACACCGGUGGCGAAAGCGGCUCACUGGGUCUCUUCUGACGCUGAGGAACGAAAGCUAGGGGAGCGAACGGGAUUAGAUACCCCGGUAGUCCUAGCCGUAAACGAUGAGCACUAGGUCGAGGGGGCUUCCACACCUUCUCGGCCGUAGCGAA